GCUGGAGAGAAUGAGCUUGGAGCCGCAGGGCUUAAUCCCGCGCGGCUCAGAGAUGGGUUUCUGGACUCGCGAAGCAGCUGCAACAAGGCAUCACUCACUGUAUAAGUAUUUCCAUUUCUGAGAGCAAAAGGAAGAACUUAAGCGGGCGGCACUUGGAGUGUAAAUUGCUUUGUAGUAUUUAAAGGCAGAAUGGAUCCUGGGCAGCCGAGCUGAUCAUGAGGUUCCUGAGGCCUCCUAGCCAUGCUUCCUGUGCAGCCUAUGGAACUGAUCACUGUUGUAUUUUUAAACCUUAUUCCUGGAAGCACUACGGAUAUCAGAUCAAUUUAGAAAGCCAAAGAGUACCUCUGGGAAUGAAAUGGUAGUAAUAGAAACAAUAUUUGGCCAAACUAUCGCUGUAUGCCAAUGAUGCCAAAAAUCACAGUAACCUGGCAGCAACAAACCGGCAGGACUUCCUGUGAAAUCAUGACCACCAUGUGCUCUUUCAGCCUCUAUCAGUUCCUACCUCUAAGCACCUGAGAGCCAAAGCAAACCACAGGAAACCACAGGCCUUUGGAGUCAGACUGGAACUACAGCAUUGACUCUUCCGGAACUCCAGCUUACUGACUACAGAUCUUGGAACUUUUCAGCUUCCACAACCAUAAUGAAAGCCAAGCAUAUUCCAUCAUUUCCUAAAACCAAGAUAGAGCACAUAUGGGAACUUGUGAAAUAAGGAUGCCCUGCGGUUGUUUUCAGGACUGAAGACAACAGCUCCACGAUGUAUCUUUGCAUAAGAAUACACUUGUAUAAUAAGUUUUUUUUUUUAGAGAAAUUGCAUGUAUCUGCCUUAUAAACUUUUUCAUUCAUUCAUUUUCUUUCUUCCUAAUCUGUUCCAUAAAGCAAAUUUCUAACUUAUUGUUAAUCAAAAUAAUUAUUGAAAUAAUUAGUACUUUCAUAUGAUAAAGAUUAUUUUAAUCUGCAGCUACAAAAUAUGUAACUCAUUAAUAUUUAAACAAUCACAAUUUUCUAUUAACAUUAUAGCAUUUUAUCUACUACUAGAUCAGGAAUUAGCUAUUUUUUGUAAAAUUUCUUUGUAAGGCAAAGCAAUAGUAUUGUAUAUACUUUCCUAAAGAUUGUCAAGUUCAGUUUUGCUUAAAUUUAACAGUACAUGUGACACUUUCUGUUUGAAGAAUAAGUUGGUUUUAAGUUUAUACCAAACAAAAGCAUCUCUUUUGUUUUGCAAAAUCUGAAA
rnacentral:lncRNA from 1 species